AUAUUUUUUCCAGAAAGUAUGUGUGCAGACAUGGGAAAUAGCCUCCCACGUGUGGGAUUUUGGAAGCCAUUCCCAUCAAUUGAACAAUAAACACUUUCUUCUCCCUUCUGUUUUUAGAGGUGCAACUCUUCCAGUCCAGCAAACAUCAAUCAGUUUGGCACAAGUGCUUUGUGAUUUUUCAAGCCAGGUAGGUGCAGACAGCAGCAACGCCGGCCCUGAGCCUUCUCAGCUGCACAGGCAUACCUUGAUCAGCUUCUCCUUGUGUGAUAGAUGCUCCAGCACCCUGACUGCCCUGGGACCCCUGCCUUGGACCUGCCCUGGUGUCUUACAGUGCAGAGGAAGGAGUUACAGAAAGCAGAGAUGCAUAAACCUCUGCAAAAGCUUAAUGUGCCAUACAUGGGACUUUGGGAAGGCUGCUUUGUAGCUGCUGUUGAAUCCCUAGUGAAGAAAAUCUCCACCUGCUGUAACCAGCUGUUACCAGAGCAGGGAAAGGACCAGCAGCAGCGUGCUCAAGAUGUGAAAGCUGCUUGGUUGGGCCGCACACUGGUGGGACCUGUGGUUACGUGCCUCUUGUGGGACUGCUGUCAGAAACCGUGUUGAAAAGGUGUGGAGAUGCCCUCCACCCAAACGUGCAGUGAAAUCUCUUGGUUAUAGAGUGAGUUAACACAUCUUAACAUUCAUUUGUAGCUGACAACAGCUAUGGGGAAAGAGGUGGGACUUCGUGGGGCUAGUGAGGAGAUGGCAUGUUGCAUUUUCACAAUUUCUGUUUUUAUGCAAGUCUGCA